AUGAAAAUGGUGGCCUUCCAAUCUCCAGCCCGGAGGAGCCAAGAGCUUGGGGCCUCACUCCUCAGUGCACCCUCAGAGAAAAGCAGUGAAUCCAUCCCGUCUCCCUGGUCUCCAGCUGUGCUCCGAGCUCACCCGGCCUGUGACCAAGCGUUUCUGUCUCUCUCAGGUGUACGGCCCCGUUUGGAGUCUCCAAACCCAGCAGAUUGCUGCAGUACGCUCCUGUACCACUCCUUCCAAUGGAAGAAGGAGGGGGGCAUCUCCCUGUAUCUGCCAAUUGUGGGGUCCCUGCUCGAAAAACAGUGGCCCGACUGCCUUGGAUCAUGUUUAAGAGAUCAUUUGAAUUCGAAGUAUAAAGAAAACCUGGAAUGACCGGAGCCCAGGAACAAGUACAGCCGCCUUUGGCUGUGAUUUCAUCAGUGGGUCUGGCUGUGAAUUUUUCAAGUGAGUAGCCUCUGUAACAAGCUGCUUCUUUUCCCUGUUAUCAUAAUAGAAAGGGCAUGAUCCAGAAUCUGGUUGCAGAGGGAGGGCCGCGUGACUGUCGGAUAAGAGGAGGAGUUGCUUUGCAGGCAUGCCUGUGACUCAGCUCUGUGAAAUUCACCAACAGCCGUCCCCUAGAUAAAGACAAGUGGCAGA
rnacentral:lncRNA from 1 species